rnacentral:rRNA from 1 species
GACGAACGCUGGCGGCGUGCUUAACACAUGCAAGUCGAACGAUGAAGCAGAGAAACGCGCACUUCGGUUCAAAUUUCACUUCGGAUUAGUGGCAGACGGGUGAGUAACGCGUGAGCAACCUACCUCUUACAAAGGGAUAGCCUCGGGAAACCGUGAUUAAUACCAUAUGACACAUUCAUAAGGCAUCUUAAGAAUGUUAAAGCUACGGCGGUAAGCGAUGGGCUCGCGUCCCAUUAGCUAGUUGGUGAGGUAACGGCCCACCAAGGCGACGAUGGGUAACCGGCCUGAGAGGGUGAACGGUCACAUUGGAACUGAGACACGGUCCAAACUCCUACGGGAGGCAGCAGUGGGGAAUAUUGCACAAUGGAGGGAACUCUGAUGCAGCGACGCCGCGUGAGCGAUGAAGGAAUUCGUGUCGUAAAGCUCUGUUCUAUGGGAAGAAAAGGACUGUACCAUAGGAGAAAGCCCCGGCUAAAUACGUG